GUCUAUGGCCAUGCUACCCUAAACAAACCCAAUCACAUUCUGAUCUUGGAAGCUAAGCAAGGUCGGGCCUGGUUAGUACGUGGAUGGGAGACCACCUAGGAAGACCAGAUGCUGUAGGCG
rnacentral:rRNA from 1 species